AACGAACGCUGGCGGCAUGCCUAACACAUGCAAGUCGAACGAGACCUUCGGGUCUAGUGGCGCACGGGUGCGUAACGCGUGGGAACCUGCCCUUAGGUUCGGAAUAACUCCCCGAAAGGGGUGCUAAUACCGGAUAAUGUCUUCGGACCAAAGAUUUAUCGCCUUUGGAUGGGCCCGCGUUGGAUUAGCUAGUUGGUAGGGUAAAAGCCUACCAAGGCGACGAUCCAUAGCUGGUCUGAGAGGAUGAUCAGCCACACUGGGACUGAGACACGGCCCAGACUCCUACGGGAGGCAGCAGUGGGGAAUAUUGGAAAAUGGGCGGAAGCCUGAUCCAGCAAUGCCGCGUGAGUGAUGAAGGCCUUAGGGUUGUAAAGCUCUUUUACCCGGGAUGAUAAUGACAGUACCGGGAGAAUAAGCUCCGGCUAACUCCGUG
rnacentral:rRNA from 1 species